UACGUAGGGGGCAAGCGUUGUCCGGAAUCAUUGGGCGUAAAGCGCGUGUAGGCGGCCCGGUAAGUCCGCUGUGAAAGUCGGGGGGCUCAACCCUCGGAUGCCGGUGGAGUACUGUCGGGCUAGAGUGCGGGAGAGGCGAGUGGAAUUCCUGGUGUAGCGGUGAAAUGCGCAGAUAUCAGGAGGAACACCGGUGGUGUAGGCGGCUCUCUGGACCGUAACUGACGCUGAGGCACGAAAGCGUGGGUAGCAAACAGG
rnacentral:rRNA from 1 species